rnacentral:rRNA from 1 species
GCCUGUUUAUUAAAAACAUUGUUUUUAAAAUUAAUUAAAAAUAUAACCUGCCCAAUGAUUUAUUUUUAAAAGGCCGCAGUAUUUUGACUGUGCUAAGGUAGCAUAAUCAUUAGAUUUUUAAUUGAAAUCUUGAAUGAAUGGUUAAAUGAAAUAAAUUCUUUUUUAUUUUUAUAAUUUGAAUUUUAUAUAUUAGUUAAAAAGCUAAUAAAAAAAAAUGGGACGAGAAGACCCUAUAGAAUUUAUAUAAUUAUAUAAUUAAUUAUAAAUUAUUUUUUUUGUUUAAUUAGUUAAAAUUAUUUUAUUGGGGAGAUAUUUAAAUUUAAAUAACUUUAUUAAUUUAAAUCAUUAAUUUAUGUAGUAAUUGAUCUUUUAUUAUAGAUUAAAAAAUUAAAUUACCUUAGGGAUAACAGCAUAAUGAUUUUAAAAAGUUCUUAUUUUUAAAAUAGUUUAUGACCUCGAUGUUGGAUUAAAAUUAUUUUUAUAUGAAGAAAUAUAAUUAAUAAG